UUUCUAUCUAGAGAGGUGGAGGGACAGGCCCUGUGAAAUCUCGGCAACAGCAUUUUGACUGUGCCAAUUCCUGCAAGUUUUACUUGGAAGAUAGGAG
rnacentral:ncRNA from 2 species